GACGAACGCUGGCGGCGUGCUUAACACAUGCAAGUCGAACGGAAAGGCCCUGCUUUUGUGGGGUGCUCGAGUGGCGAACGGGUGAGUAACACGUGAGUAACCUGCCCUUGACUUUGGGAUAACUUCAGGAAACUGGGGCUAAUACCGGAUAGGAGCUCCUGCUGCAUGGUGGGGGUUGGAAAGUUUCGGCGGUUGGGGAUGGACUCGCGGCUUAUCAGCUUGUUGGUGGGGUUGUGGCUUACCAAGGCUUUGACGGGUAGCCGGCCUGAGAGGGUGACCGGCCACAUUGGGACUGCGAUACGGCCCAGACUCCUACGGGAGGCAUCAGUGGGGAAUAUUGCACAAUGGGCGGAAGCCUGAUGCAGCAACGCCGCGUGCGGGAUGACGGCCUUCGGGUUGUAAACCGCUUUCGCCUGUGACGAAGCGUGAGUGACGGUAAUGGGUAAAGAAGCACCGGCUAACUACGUG
rnacentral:rRNA from 1 species